rfam:Clostridium sp. CAG:440 genomic scaffold, scf84
UUUAUUUAUUAAGCGCCUGGACACUUAUAAAAAUAGUGUUGACGAGGUCUAGAGUUAUCGAAAUAUUCGGCGGAUGCUCUAGUGGUUUUGGCUAAACCAUAGUACUAAUUAAAAAACAAUAGUAAUAUUGCAACAAAAAUUAGUAUAUAGCUUUUA